rnacentral:lncRNA from 1 species
AAAAAAAAAAAAAGAAAUGGUACUUGCAAUGUUUUACACCAUGUUUGUGUUUUAAAAAUAUUUCACACUACAUAUUCAAAGUUAUAAUGCAGGAUACAAUUUGUUUCUAGUCGAAAAGGUCAAAAAUAUCCAAAUUUUUUAUGUGGUGUUUUCAAGAAUUAUGCUUUUAAGAGAAUUUAAGAAAAUCGGACUAUUCUAUCGAGAUACUAUAACUUAUUCAACAGAAUAUCUAAAGCAUUUGUUCUGAAAGCAAGAAUUCUAGAUGCUCUUCUCCCCAUUUGUUUUUGGUCGAAUGCCACAAAAGAUGUUGAGAAUUAGGCACAAGAACCGGGUUCAAUAAGUUGACAAAUACCAAACCGAGGACCGACGUGGAAUCGUGGAGAAAAAGUUACAUUACAAUAAAGAUAAAUAAAGAAAAGGGAAGAUGACGUAAAGCUCAGAUUUGGAGCCUAACGAACUCCACGUCACCGCCUAAGUUCAUCCAUUGAAAUUUGACGGCGUCUUCUACUCUUCUAUCAUAACCCUUCGUUCUUUCAUGUGAACCACGUCACCGCCAUUCUCUUUUUUUUUUCUUUCUUAAUACAUUUCUCAAUAUGCGUCCAAUAUCAUAAAUAUAAUAUAUAUAUAUAUAUACAAUUUAACCUAUUAAGGCAUUGCAACUUGUAGUGAACUUUCAAAGGAACUUGCAUCCACAAAUUUAAACAUUUUUGCAUGUUGUAGAAUUGAACACGAAUAAUAAAGUGUGUAUUGAUGAUACACUUGUGUUACUUAUUUGACAAUUUAUUUGGUUUUCUUAGAAAAACUGAAACUGGCUUAUACAGUAUGUUUGUACACAUUUUUUGUAUUCGAAGAAAUUGGGGCAUCAUACAGUGACAUUGCUAUUAAUGUUUCUUCUAUAUCAAACCAAGUGAUAACAAAAUAUAAAAAGUAAUAAUGUUGACUUGUAAAUAAAGUAAGAAAAUUAAAUUCUGUCAUUUCAGAAGAGGAAGUAUGUCACAUGUAUAAUAGAUCAUCGAUACUUUUCAUGAGAACUUCCACAAGAAAGCCAUUGACUUCUUAUACCUUUCUCAAUUUUCCAGCUUGACCCAUUUUUUUCUUUUGAAGUUAUGAGAACUUUAUGUAUAAAAACAUUUUAGACUAGACCUCAAGAAAAUUCAGAUAUUUUUAUAAUUUGUGAAAAAAAUGUUGAAAUAAAUUGAUUGGAUUAUUUCUAUUACUAACGUUAAUCCAGUAUUAUGGUGGUCUAUAUUAUUAUUAUAGCCACCUAUACGGAAUGUUGAUGUGCCAAACAAUGGAGACACACAUUGUGUACUUGGAUUAAUGAAUAAAAUGACAUGUAUCAGUCUAUGGGACACAUAGUAAACUAGAUUAUUUCAUACCUAAAAUGCUAUAAUAUUUGAUUGAUAAAUGAUAAGAACAAAGAAAAGUUCUUGCAAGUUUGAAAAAAAAAAAGAGAAUAUCUUGACUCGUGCGGAUCUCAAACUUUUCUUUUCUAUCCUCUUCUCAAAUUAUAUUCCAAGUAAAACACGCAAUUACCAUAAGAGUUAAACAAUAUAAAAAGAGUUCUCAACUAAAUCUUCCAAAAGAGGCUUUCUCUUAUGGUUCACAUGUAAGUAUAUACUUUAAUUUACAUAAAAUUUAAUUUAACGAAUCCUAAUGAGCCUAUUUUCUGAACACGUACAAAUCAAUUUAAUGCAUAUCUUCACAUUUACACAAGAAUAAAGAAACUACACAUAUUUUUACUCCAUUGCUUCUGAAUUUAUAUAAUUCUUUCCAUUUAAUAUGAUUGAGUUUUUAUCCCUCUAACAAGGAAAAAUAUUAUAUAUAGAUACAAGGAAAGCCCAUUUCAUUAUCUAUCUUCUCUUUGAUUCAGCGAGCGAAAUAAAAACAAAAGGCCAAAAAUGGGUGCAGACGCAAUCCAAACGAACGGUCACGAUCCCGCCAAGUUAACCGCCGCGAGAGGGAUCCAACGGUUGAGAUGCGCCGUGAAGAACUACGAGUGGGGCAAACUCGGACCGGACUCACUUGUUGCGAGGCUCCACGAGGCGAAUUCAGGGGACCGAGUCGACCCGGUGGUUCCUCACGCCGAGUUGUGGAUGGGUACUCACGAGUCGGCACCGAGUUACGUUGUGAAGGAAGAAGAAUUCGGGUCGGGUCGUAAUGGAUCCGAAUGCAUGGUUACAUUGAAAUCAUGGGUUUUGGAUUAUCCGAAUUUACUCGGGUCUAGAGUCGUGGACAAAUGGGGUUGUGAUCUUCCUUUCCUCUUCAAGGUAUUAUAUUUUAAAAGUUUCCAAUUAAAACAUGUAUAUUCAAAACCUUCUUUCAAAAAAAAAAAAAAACAUGUAUAUUCAGAUUCUGUUUAUGGUAAAUCUUUUUGUUUUUCCAGUUUUGUCUCAUACAUAAUUGUUCAGGAACAAAAGUAUUAUUUAUUUGAUCCUAAGAUUCUCAUUUUGAAUAUUUUUGCUCUGUUUUGAGGAUUUUACUUUUUGACUCUGUUUUCUUAUAAAAUUUCUAAUUAAAAGUCAAAACAUAUAUAUAUAUAUAUAUAUAUAUGUAUUUUUUUGUAAUUUCAGAUUCUGUGAAUUGUCAAUUUCUCCACUUUUUAUAUUUACAUAUAUUAUAUAUACAGCCAAUUUGUCUUGUUAGAUACAUAUAUAUUUUGGCUCUGUUUUGAGGAUGAUACAUUUUAACUCUGUUUUCUCAAUUUAUAAAAAUGCAUUUCUUUUUCUCUGUGUGUUUUAAAUUUAAAACAUAAAGGUUUGAUUCUAAUGAAUAAGAGUUUGAUGUUGAAAUGUGCAAAAAAUAAAAACAGGUUUUGUCAGUGACGAAAGCAUUGUCGAUUCAAGCACAUCCAAACAAAGCCUUAGCAGAGAAAUUGCAUAGAGAAGAUCCUCUUCUUUACAGAGAUGCUAACCAUAAGCCUGAGAUUGCUCUCGCCAUUACUCCUUUUCAAGCUCUUUGUGGUUUCGUAUCUCUUAAUGUACUAGAUUCUUCACUUCUCUGCAAACAUCUAAUUUAGUCGGUUUUUGAUUUAGAUAACUUCGGUUAUUUUGCCUAUCACAUAUGCUAAAUCCAAAAUUGAACCGGUUCUGUACCACUUUUGAUAUCAAAUUCAGGAGCUGAAGGAAGCCAUCGCCAAUGUACCAGAAAUCACAGAGCUUGUCGGAAGUAAAGCAGCAGAUCAAAUCUUCAAAGUCAACGAACACGAUGGAGACGAAACAAGUGUUAAAUCCGUUGUCCGUUUGAUUUUCACGCAAUUGAUGUCUGCAAACAUCAAUGAUACAAAGCAAGUCAUAUCACAGAUGAAGAUUCGUCUGAUCUCAGAAACAAACCACCGUGAGUUAUCGGAGAAGGAGAAGUUAGUAUUGGAACUAGAGAAACAGUAUCCAGGUGACGUGGGCGUGAUCUCAGCAUUCUUCUUUAACCACGUCAAGCUUAAUCCCGGAGAGGCUUUGUAUCUUGACGCCAACGAGCCACACGCUUACAUUUCCGGCGACUGUGUUGAGUGUAUGGCGGCUUCAGACAACGUUGUUAGAGCUGGUCUCACUCCGAAACACCGCGAUGUUCAAACUCUGUGUUCUAUGCUGACCUACAAAUUGGUAACUUUCUUUACACGUUAACGUUUUUUUUGGUUUAGUUGGCUAGCAAAAUUUGGAUUGUACCCUAACCCUAACCAAAACCGAAAAUUUAUUUUUCUUUGUUUGGUUAUUGAUUAAUUGUACCGGAUUUGUUUCAGGGCUACCCGGAGAUUUUGAAAGGAUUUCCUCUGACUCCAUACAUUACGAGAUACCUUCCACCAUUUGAUGAGUUUGAAGUGGACCAUUGUGAUCUUCCUAGAGAGAAAUCCACUGUUUUUCCGGCCAUACCAGGGCCAUCGGUUUAUCUGGUUAUUGAAGGAAAAGGGACAUUGAAAACCGGUUCAUCUCAAUUGUUGGUUAAACGAGGAGAUGUUUUGUUUGUUCCGGCACAUAACGAGAUUCACGUAACCGGAGAAAGUGAUGUGAUGAAGCUUUACAGAGCUGGAGUCAGCAGCAGAUUCUUUCAAACAAUGUAGACUAAGUAAAGAUACAUAUAUAUAUAUUUAAUUUGUUAUCUAAAUGUAACCAUAGGGAUCAAGGCAUUGACGUGAUCAUAGUCAAUAUUGGUCCAUGUUCUUUAAUCCUACAAAUGUCCCAUUACGAAUCAAGGGUUCAAGGGGUUGUUUUUCUAUUAACUUUUGUUGUUUCUUCUACACCUUUAAAAUUGAAUUAUAUAUGUAAAAUGAUUAUAAAACAAUGUUUUUUUUUUUACUUUUUGCUAUUGUAGUGUAGUAACUAGUAAUUAUUCUUCCUUUACCUGUUUAAACUUUAAUUUCUAGAACUACUCUGCAAAAGCACAUUUGUUCAGUUGUAAUAUGUAGAGAUCGAACCACAGAGACGAGAAAUUCGCUCAAUAAACCUAAUAGACUCUAAUUGCGCUAAGAAGAAAUAAUGAAAUUGAGAGCAGCAAUGCAAUAAAAAACGGUUUUAAAUUCGAUGGGAAAGAAUUAGGCUCAGGGUGUUUCACAGAAAAUCAGAGAAUGCAGACAAAUCGAUUAGUCAUGAUUCAGAUUUAAGCGCAAUUCUUGAACUCAAAUCACGAAAUUAUAAUUAACUAACUUUUGUUGCGAAAAUUAUUUAAAUCUAAAUCCCAGAAUCCCAAUUUUCUUUGCAAUCCUAAAGAUAUAAAUUAGCCUUAAGUGCAGGUUCGAUAUGUUCACAAAGUGUCUAAACCAAUUUUUUUUGUGGAUAGCUACUUUGCUCAUCCUAGGUUCUUUCGGAUUAUUCAAUUACAGUUUCGUGUCAAUCAAUUAACCUAAGAUCUAAGUUCUAGGUGAUCAGUCCAAAAUUAGCUUUAAGAAUAAUCUAUGGUGAAUUACUAAUCAGAUUAUGACCCCUAACUAAUUAAUUAUCUAAAAUUCAAAGGGAUCCCUUAUGAGAACCCUAAACCUAACAAACAAACUACUCAAAUAUGGAGAUUGAAUCAAUAAACAUGAAUGAAUAGAUUGCAGAAAGCAGUAAAAAGAUUAAUAAACAGAGGUUCAAAAUCUUCUCUCAAACAAACAGAGUCUCAGACUUGUCUCCCUAAAAGCUCUCUCAAGAUCAAUAGAAAUCAAAAGUCUCAAAGAAAAUCUAGAGUGUAGCCAAAACACGUGGCUGAAAACCCUAUCAAAAGCUAAAACACAUGUUGGACUUCCCUGUAAAUAUUGGAGACUUCUGGGCUCAAGAGAUUCUUUAAAACUUAGACAAAAUCACGUUUUUCCUUAUUCACGACAUUGGUGUCGAGCAACACCAAAACAUAUAAAUCAUCUUUCACGAAUUUGAUCCCUGCUUAGUUCCAAAAUGCUCUAAAAUCUCCAAUUAAACUCCAAAUACAUUUAAGACCUGAAAAGACUCCAAAAAAUUAAAAAAACACUAAAGAGACUCUAUAAAUAAAACCUAUCAUGAUCAAAAACCAUAAAAAAAAACCAUGAUAUAUCAUUCUCCAUGAUAAGCAUUUUUCGAAUGGUCUGAGUCGAACAAAACAAUGUUCUCUAAAGUAUAAGGCCAAUUCUUUUUGCCUCCCUCGUCACUUACCUUUUGUUUGUGGCUUCCAUGGCAUAGACUAGAGAGAUGACCCCGAGAAGACCUAAUCUAGCACGCAUUUGUUUGGAUGUUGCUAAUGUUCCGUUUUAAAGUACAUAUGCAAAGAUCGUGGAAAGUAAAACGAACUCAAUCUUAAGUCUUGAGACAAUGAUUUUUGCCAAUUUUCCGGUAAGCUUUCCCGGUGAAAUCUUUCACUGGAAUGACCUGAUUAUGGAUGCGCUGGAAACUUGAGUACUAUAACGUGAUAUACUUAUAUGUCAAAAUCGAAUUUAAACUGAAUGAGAAAUGAGGAUUCUUAGAGAGUAUAGCUUGAAAGCUUAAAAAUAACAUAAGUUACCAAAUGACAAGUGUGAUUUGUCCCACAUUAGCAAUUCAACGUUACAUUUUGAACGUAGUGUUACGUUCUCCCCUUGAUAAUACUCAAUAGAUCUGCUUCUAGCCUGUCCCAACAAUCUGAUUCGGAUUGAGAAUUGCGGUUUUUGCGAACGUUGUUAAAGAUUUCCAAAAAAAAAAAUAUUUCAUUACGGCUUUUCACAUCAAAUCGGAAAAACUCUGCUUAGUUUUAACUUUUUAGGGAAUUUGAUAAAUAUUUGACAAACUUUGUGAAAAUAACUUUUGGAGUAGCAAAAUUCCGCAAAAAAAAAAAAAAAACUCAGAGUAAACUUACUGACAAAAGAAAAAAGUUUCCUCAAGUUGGUUUAGUCGCAUUCCUUUUGUCAAGCACUUAAUCCACUACAAAGACGUUUUGUUGUAAUUUAACCGAACUGAACAAUCAUUCCAAAUCUUAAUAAGCAGCUAAAGAGAGACAUUGAGAGACCAAGAUAAACCGGUUUACUUGCACCUACUUGCUGUUUGUUAAAGCUUUGGUUACAAAAUGUGAAACGAUUCCAACCGGACAGAAGAGAAGGCACAAUGAAACCGAAUGCCUCGUCUCAAUCUUAUUCUCUAGCCCAUCAUUAAAAACUUGCCUGCAGAGAAACACUCAAAACAUGAGUUAUAAGAAACAUGCUAGGAUCAAUCAGAACCUGAAAAGUGCAAUAUAGUACCUUGCAGCGAAAAGAUCUAUAACAAGAAGAUGAAUCCAAGCAGAAGCAAGAGUCAUUUCACUUGAGAACAUUUUCGCUAUUCCAGACAACUGCAAAUGAAAAAAAAAAAAAGAAAUUUUAGAAACUGGAAUGUACACAUUUUCUUGUUUUCGAUAUUUCCUGAUAAUUGGAGGAAAAAGCUAAAACCUCUGGCAACAUGUAUUUACUGGAAAACAUGUAUUUGAGAGUAUCAGGCGUCCAAGAAAGGUAUAACAAAUACGCGUAUAAUACGCCUAAGACGAUAUACGGUAUGCUACUCUCCAUACACUUUUUGGUCUGCACAAGGAGAAAACAUACACUCAAUUCAAUAUGAACUUUUUUGAUUCUGCACAAGAAGUUGUAAAACUGCUAAACAAAAACUCACAAUUUCAGCUUUUGGAGCUACAACCAUUAGAGUGUAAAAGGGUAAAACAGCGGUUGUUCCAACCGCAAAUACACUGCUUGCAAUCUGAGAAGUAGCUAUCCCUGCACAAGAACAUGUUAUGUCUCUGUCCUACUUUCAAUUUAAACAUUGAAGAGCUAUAGAUUCUAGACAUAUAUCAAGCCUCUUUUUGGUUUAUAAUGUUUCAGUUAAGAGACAUUACAUGAAGCUCGUACACCAGAGGAUUUCUUUUGAACAAGAGAGGACGAGUUCGAUGAAACAUUAGGGAAAAGUGCGAUUUUUGAUCCUCCGAUAAAGCUCCAACGAUUCUGAAGUCGAAUACUUGACGAACCAACGCAUAGUUUAGACUUGACAUUGCUGAGAGAAAGACUUGUUAUCGAGCUCUUAGCUGAAAUGUUGCGAUUCAUCAUCUGAAUCACCAAACAAAAUGAAUCAAUCUGAUGAAAUAUAAAAAACUUCUUUAUUUCUUAAAAUUUAGGAAUCUGAGACCAAAAGCACUUUGAUCUGAACAACAACGAAUCAGGAACAGAGUUAGGUUCUGUAACAGGGACCCAUGAGGAGUAAAUUCAACUUCUUUAAUGUCUGCGUCAAUUCGAUCUGAUUCAAAGGAUAAAACUUUAAGGUUACCCAUAAGGAAUCUGAACUAUUCGAAAUUGUAGAAAGCUCGACAUAAGAAUCUAAUCCGACAAUCUCCAACAACUGUACAUACAUACAUACAUACAUACAUACAUGAUACAUACAUACAUACAUACACACACAUAGAUAUAGACAUAUAUCUGCGUAUACCGAAAAUUGGAGAAGAAUUGAAAAAGGAAGAGAAAAGGUAGAUACCGAGAGAGAUGAAGAAGACAAAGGCUGGGAAAUGCAAGAAGAUAAAGCCAUCUGCGAUUCAAAUCUUCAAUAGUCUUUGCCAGAAUUUGGCCAUUCAUUACCUUCUUCAACGAGCUCUCUCCAUAUAUAUAUGUAAAGUAUCAAUUUUUAGAGAGGAGAGUUGAGAGUUUUCCACUGGUUGAAAAGGGUAAGUGGAGAAGAAGCUAAGAGAAAAAGUGCUCACUCACUCUUUCUUCAUCAGUGUGGACAAUUAUAGUUGCUCAUCCACCCGAAUUUUUUAAAAAAGUUUUGGUCUUUUUUAGUUUUCCUCGUUUACUUCUGUUUCGCAUAAACAAAAAAAAAAGAAAAAACCAUUAUGAGUUUGAGUUAAUUUUAAAGAGAAAAUCAAAUUUAAAGAUUCUUUAUAUUGUAUGUUCAAAAUUGCAAUAUAUUAUGGAAAAAAAGAGAAGAUUUUUUCCUAAUUUUAGAUAAAAACCUUUAAUAAAAAUCAAAAAAUUAUUAAGAUAUUAAUUUAACCUUAUAUUUUAGAUAUUGUUCUUUUUCUGGUCAAUAUAAAAAAUUACAGUUUACCAUUCUUAUAUAAAAAAAAAUUAAUUAGACUCAAAUGGAAUGUUUUUAUUUUUUUAACAAGAAUAUAACUUUCAUAGAACCUAAUACCCAAAAAAAAAACAUUUGACCCGACUAAAUUAAAAUUCAAGGAAAGAUUGGAGCUUUGAUCCUUUACUCGAUAAAAAAAAGGUUCUUCAUUGUAUGAUCAAAUGACUUGUCGGAUUGUAUUUGUAGGUGGCUCAUCGUAGGAUUAAUAGCUUCUCGGAUUUUGUUAUCCUUGUCUUGUGUUUUGCUUUUUCCGUGAAGAUCAAAAUUUUCUUCUAUACAUUCCUGCUAUAUAUUCCAUCAUGUUCUACCGGUUACACUUAUAAGCCUAUAAGGAUAUCUAAUCUACUUUUUUAUUUGAUAAAAACCUAAUAUCUUUGUUAAUGGAUAUUUGUGCUUAAACUGAAUUUAGACACAACACAGGUCUAGUUCAGGACAGAACAAGACAAAAGUGACAGUGCUACUUCUACUCAGCAGUGGUUGUGACUUCCUCUAAAGACAAAAGUUGGUGUUUCCACCAUUAUUUCGGUUUUGCUUUUAUUAUAUAUUUUAUUUUAAUUUAUUUUUCGCUACAUGAGAAUUGCAUUAACGAAGGACAUUAUAUAUGAAAACAAAAAAAAACAAUAAAAAGAUAUACAUACAUGUGUCUGACACUCAUUGUUUGUGAAAUCAGUUGGGAGUAAGAUAGCGCUUGAGUGGGCUAUUUGGUAUGAUAGCUUCUCUCUAUUGAUGGGCCUUAUUGACCCACCCCACUUCAGUUUUGUUUAGUCAUUCACAACAAGAAAAACAUGAAAACAAAAGCAACACUUGUCUUUUCUAUCUCUCAAUCUGUAAGUGGUAUAUGCGCAUUUCGUUGAAUUCGAUUGAGACCAAAACUCUUUUAAAACAUAAUGUAUAGUUCUUAGGAUUAUAUGGGGAAAAUAUAUGAUGUCUCAAAGAUUUUUCAUAACAUAUUAUAUUCCUUAUAAUAAAAGGUCACCUGGGGUUUUUCUAUAAACCGGGGUUUUUUUAUAAACCGCCGGCUUUUCUAUAAACCGCCGGCUUUGUCUCUGGAGAUGUUGUAUCAUCUGCCGGCUUUGUGUAAUCCGUUGGCUUUGCUCUGUAACACUAUGGUGAUCAAUAUAAUAAUAUUCAAUGAAAAAAAAAAAAGGUCACCUAAAUAAUUAAAAAUUUGAAUUUUUACGACUCAUAUUUCUAUCCUAUUCCAAAGCUAGGAAAACAACAUAAAGAGUUACAAAUUCUUACUAUAUAGUACUUCCAACAAUAUCUUUAUGUAAAUUUGUGCCAAGUCAUUUUGAGUGGAAAAUGUAGAAUAUAUGAUCCACAAGAUCCUUGAAUAUACUUGGGUAUAUAGAAAUAAAAAUGAAUAUCCGAGACUCUUAUCUACAAGCCUAUCCUUAAGAAGGCACGUCCACGAAUGUUUCUAUCACAGAUUUUCAGUGGGCCAUCAUCUAUUACUUCAAGAUAUUGUUCUAAAAAUGCAUCUCAACCUCAAGCUUACUAAUCAUGUGACAAAAGUGAUAAUGUGAAUCUAGUUUUUCAAAUAAUUUCUUUAUUCAAUGACGACUAAUCAAAGAGUUGGUAUAUUUUUGUAUUCACAGUUCUUCAACUUUGUAUAUUUUCAUAUCUUGAGCCGCAUUGUAAUUUGUUUUUUCUUAUAUGCAAAAUUCAAAAUCAAAGAUUUAUAGAACAUUACAUAUUUAUUUCAUCAGACAUUUGAGAAUCCGAUAGAAAAUGUCUCGCAAACCGGAAAACAAACGUUAAAUCCGGAAAUUAAAACAAAACUAAGGAAACCAAAAAAAAAAAAGCAGAUGAUAAAAUCAAAGGUGAGGAGGGAGAUAAAGUUUUUUUUUUUUGAUGUUUACACAAAGCAAAGAAGCAGUGAAAUUAAGCAUCGGUGAAGCUUGCUGGCUUGUAGGCGAUGAAACUGAUGCACUGGACUUGACGGGUGUUGUCGAAUCCGAUGAUCCUAAUGAAGGCCUGGGGGUACUCCUUCUUGCACUCUUGCACUUCCUUCAACACUUGAGCUGAGUCAGUGCAUCCGAACAAAGGAAGCUUCCACAUUGUCCAGUACCGUCCAUCGUAGUAUCCGGGAGUGCUUCCGUGCUCACGGUGCACAAAUGCGUUCUACAAAAACACAUUACACAAAACCAUUCAAAAACAUAAAUCAAGAUUCUGCUUAGGACCUCUAAAUAGUUAUUAACUUGAUUGCAAGAUUCAUAUGGUCCAAGAGAUCAAGCUACUCUAUAAAUGAUUUUUAUUACCUCCAACUCGAAUUCAACACAGGGAAUCCACUUGUUGCGGAGAAGGUAGUCAACUUCCUUAGCCAAUUCAACUUCGGUUAGGUCAGGAAGGUAAGAGAGAGUCUCAAACUUCUUCUUACCAAUAGGAGGCCACACCUAUUUUUUGCCAUUUUUCCAAAAUCAACAAAAACAAUAUUAGUUUAUAUGAUUCGAUAAAUCAAAAACCCAUAAAUUUGUUUUUGGUAUAAGAGAUUUGACCUGCAUGCAGUUAACUCUUCCGCCGUUGCUUGCGAUGGAAGUAAUGUCGUUGUUGGCCUUACGGGUCACAGGGAAAGCAGCGGAGGACUUAAGUCCGGUGAAAGGUGCGACCAUUGUGGCCUGAGCCGGAGAAGCGACCAUUGUAGCGGAAGAGAGCAUAGAGGAAGCCAUAUUGCCUUUACUCUUUUUGUGUGUGACUUAGGUUUGGUCUAGUGCUUUGGUCAUCUAUAUAUAAUGGUAACAACAAUGAUAACAAGGUGAGGGAGUGAUCGGAGGGCUCA